rnacentral:rRNA from 1 species
GACGAACGCUGGCGGCGUGCUUAACACAUGCAAGUCGAACGGAAAGGCCCUUCGGGGUACUCGAGUGGCGAACGGGUGAGUAACACGUGGGUGAUCUGCCCUGCACUUUGGGAUAAGCCUGGGAAACUGGGUCUAAUACCGAAUAGGACCACGCGCUUCAUGGUGUGUGGUGGAAAGCUUUUGCGGUGUGGGAUGGGCCCGCGGCCUGUCAGCUUGUUGGUGGGGUAAUGGCCUACCAAGGCGACGACGGGUAGCCGGCCUGAGAGGGUGACCGGCCACACUGGGACUGAGAUACGGCCCAGACUCCUACGGGAGGCAGCAGUGGGGAAUAUUGCACAAUGGGCGCAAGCCUGAUGCAGCGACGCCGCGUGAGGGAUGACGGCCUUCGGGUUGUAAACCUCUUUCACCAGGGACGAAGCGUAAGUGACGGUACCUGGAGAAGAAGCACCGGCCAACUACGUG